rnacentral:rRNA from 1 species
UACGAGGGUCCCAAGCGUUAUCCGGAUUUAUUGGGUUUAAAGGGUGCGUAGGCGGUCUAUUAAGUCAGUGGUGAAAGCCCCAAGCUCAACUUGGGAACUGCCAUUGAUACUGAUGGACUUGAGUACAUUUGAGGUGGGCGGAAUGUGUCAUGUAGCGGUGAAAUGCUUAGAUAUGACACAGAACACCGAUUGCGAAGGCAGCUCACUAAGCCAUAACUGACGCUGAUGCACGAAAGCGUGGGGAGCAAACAGG